GGGUCGUUAGCUCAGUCGGUAGAGCAGUAGCCUCUUAAGCUAUUUGUCCCGGGUUCGAGCCCCGGACGACCCACCA
rnacentral:tRNA from 1 species